rnacentral:rRNA from 1 species
UACAGAGGGUGCGAGCGUUAAUCGGAAUUACUGGGCGUAAAGCGUGCGGAGGUGGUUCGUUAAGUCUGAUGUGAAAGCCCUGGGCUCAACCUGGGAAUGGCAUUGGAAACUGGCGACCUAGAGUGCGGUAGAGGGUAGUGGAAUUCCCGGUGUAGCAGUGAAAUGCGUAGAGAUCGGGAGGAACAUCUGUGGCGAAGGCGACUGCCUGGACCAGCACUGACACUGAGGCACGAAAGCGUGGGGAGCAAACAGG